rnacentral:rRNA from 1 species
AGCCCGCUCAGAACUUAAGGAAUUGACGGGGCCGCACAAGCGGUGGAGUAUGUGGUUUAAUUCGAUGCAACGCGAAGAACCUUACCUGGUCUUGACAUCCCGGAGACCCUUAGGGAACUAGGGGGUGCUUCCAUCUGGAAGAAUCUGGAGACAGGUGCUGCAUGGCUGUCGUCAGCUCGUGUCGUGAGAUGUUGGGUUAAGUCCCGCAACGAGCGCAACCCUUGCCUUUAGUUGCCAGCAGUUCGGCUGGGCACUCUAAAGGGGACUGCCGGUGUUAAACCGGAGGAAGGUGGGGAUGACGUCAAGUCCUCAUGGCCUUUAUGACCAGGGCUACACACGUACUACAAUGGCCGAUACAAAGGGCAGCGACACUGCGAGGUGAAGCCAAUCCCGUAAAAUCGGUCUCAGUCCGGAUUGGAGUCUGCAACUCGACUCCAUGAAGUUGGAAUCGCUAGUAAUCGUGGAUCAGCAUGCCACGGUGAAUACGUUCCCGGGCCUU